CACAAUGGGCGCAAGCCUGAUGCAGCCAUGCCGCGUGUAUGAAGAAGGCCUUCGGGUUGUAAAGUACUUUCAGCAGUGAGGAAGGUGGAUAUGUUAAUAGCAUAUUCAUUUGACGUUAGCUGCAGAAGAAGCACCGGCUAACUCCGUGCCAGCAGCCGCGGUAAUACGGAGGGUGCGAGCGUUAAUCGGAAUUACUGGGCGUAAAGCGCAUGCAGGUGGUUUGUUAAGUCAGAUGUGAAAGCCCGGGGCUCAACCUCGGAAUUGCAUUUGAAACUGGCAAACUAGAGUACUGUAGAGGGGGUAGAAUUUCAGGUGUAGCGGUGAAAUGCGUAGAGAUCUGAAGGAAUACCGGUGGCGAAGGCGGCCCCCUGGACAGAUACUGACACUCAGAUGCGAAAGCGUGGGGAGCAAACAGGAUUAUAUACCCUGGUAG
rnacentral:rRNA from 1 species